rnacentral:lncRNA from 1 species
UGUUGAGGGGCGGGCUGUAUGAACUGUCCAAUCAGAUGUCCCGGGAGGGAGGACUUUAUUUCCUGGUGGCAAAGCCACAGAUCCUGAGCUCAGUGCUGAGAGCCGCCCCACCCUGGUAGACCGCCCGACUUUAUGAUUUCUACUGGCUGCAGGCUGCAUGGGAAGGACCCGCGAGACUCUCUAGAUGCGCAAUGGCUGCCACCACAAGAAAGAGAAGCCUUAACCUUGUCAGAAAAAGGAAAGAAAAGGCCCAAAUCCAUGCACUUAGGAAUGAAAAGGGUGAAAUUACAACAGACCCAGCAGAAAUCCAGAGGAUCAUCAAUACCUACUUCCAGAACCUAUAC